UGACAAAGGGGUCCUUCUUCGCAGUGAA
rnacentral:sRNA from 1 species